rnacentral:lncRNA from 1 species
GGUGACUGCUUCAUUUCUAAGGUUGGACUAAUGCUGACACUCGGGAAGAAACGACCAACAUCAGAUGUACAAAUAAAAGAGGUUCGUAGUGGAGACAUAGUAUAGGAAAGCAAAGGAAAACAGCCCGCUUCCUUAACUCGAGUAAGAACACUCCGCUCACACUUUUGGAGAACACCUUGGACUGUGAAAUAUUUCCUACUUAUAGAUGCACAAUUCUGAUUGUUGUAUGUGUGUGAAUGUGUGUGUGUGUGCAUCUCACUUGGGCCUUGUGCACACAGAUCUGGAACUGGAGUUGCAGACAGCCGUGAGCUGCCGUCUCUCCAGCUUGUCCCUCUCGCUUUAAAAGUAAAUAAUUUUUCUACAUUGUAUGUGUCUAUGAGGGUGUACCUGUGUGUGUGUGGCAGUCAGAUGACGGCUUUUAGGAGUCUGUUCUCUCCUGUCUAGGUUUUCAUGAUCAAACAGACUCAGGACAUCAGGGUUGGUAGCAAUACCUUUAUGUGCUGAGCCAUUUCUCUGGUGCGGAUCUCCACAUCCUAAUCAUUGUGUAUUCAUCGCAAUUAAACAUAGUCUAAUUGUCUCUAGAGAAUGGGUUAUUUUCCGUUCUUUACCUAUCAUGUGGUGGUGAGCCACCUUAUAUGUAUAUAUUUCUGUGGGUAUUCUGGCUUUUCCUGCAUGUGUGUGCCCAUUUUUAAGGUGUUUGGACUACUCACUAGACAUCCGAACUGUGUAGCCCACCCACUGAAUCCCAUUGAACAGGCUCACCCAAGGAUUCAGACCCCCCCCCCCAAAAAAAAACCCCUUUUUGCUCACACUCCUAAAGGAAGAAAAACAAGUUUGGGACAUGCUAAAAUGGAAAGGAGAGUGGGCCUCGUGUAGCUCACAGACAGAGCAUAGAGCCUCACCUUUGAUCCCUCUCAUCACAAAAACAAAUGCAAACAAGCCAGACAUUGGGGAGUUUGCUGACAGAGUGAAUGAGAGGUGAAGUUCCAGGACCACAAGGGGCAGCAAGACUGAUCAUCCUGCACCAAACUCAGCAUCAGCAGUGCAGUGUGCACACACCAGGAGGCGUCCUUAGAUUUCUCACCAUGCUAAAGGGAACGUAGCGACGGCAACAGAGAGCAACAAUGAACAAGACCGAGUAAGAUACGGGAUAGCAUGGACUACAGAUGCUGUGAGAUGCUCAAUUCUGGGAAGAGUCAAGGUGGAUUCAAAUGUGUACGCACAAAGCUUGGGGCAGGGACUACAAUAGAAGAAUGGGGGGUGAAGAAAAUGCCAGUGUUUAUACAAAAUAUAUUUGUAUGAAAAU